GUGCUCGCUUCGGCAGCACAUAUACUAAAAUUGGAACAGUACAGAGAAGAUUAGCAUGGCCCCUGCACAAGGAUGAGAUAGCAUGGAGGUAAGGUGUUUGCCUUCCAU